ensembl:snRNA U6 U6 spliceosomal RNA
GUGUUUGCUUCAGCAGCACAUAUACUACAUUUGAAUGAUACAGAGAUUAGCAUGGCCCCUACACAAGGAUGAUGUGCAAAUGUUUUUCAUAUCUUU